rnacentral:misc_RNA from 1 species
GUUAGUUACUGACUUGUAUAUAACGGAUGAUUGAUUAAUGAAAGAUCAAGUUUUUAGUUCCACUUUCAUUUCUCGUUAACUUCUUCAACAUGCAUAUUGCUGUUGUCCUCACAUUACUAAGUUUAUUUUGUAUGCGUAAAUAUCUUUGGAAAUGCCUAUAUCAUAUUAUUGGUUGACAUGUUCUUACAUUACUGCUGAGACUGCAAUAAUUCCAUAUACUACUACAGAAGCAGUGAGGACAUGUCUUUACAUGAAUGUAAAUUCAUGCACGAAUGUAACAUGUUUAUCUGAUUCUUUUCUCCAUUACGAGUUUAUUAUAUUAGCUGAUGUGGGAAGGGUGAAGGUUUUGGUUUCCAAUGUAUAAUUGUAAGGACUUCACUGUUACAGUUGUGUUACUGCUCAACUGAUAUGUCAUCUCAAUCUUCUUGUUUUAGCUUUCACUUGUUGCACUUUCAUGGUUUUACUGCAAGUAACUUGAUAAAGCUGUCUUAGUUCCUCAUGACGUAUGCUUUGGGUUCAGGUUAUGUAGAUAGUGGUUCACCAACUGUUGGAUCCAGCAGGUCAUGGAAGUCCAUGGAAAUGGAAAUCCACUCAUUGCUUGAAAAGCUACUUGAUACAAAUGACGCUAUGAGUAGAUGUGCUGCUUCUGCUGCACCAACUACCUCAGUUACUCAAAAGCUAGCAAGGCACAGAGACAUACUUCAUGAUUUCACCCAGGUUUCCCAUGAAUUGCUAUGAGUUCAAUUUCUAGCAUUUUCUGCUUCUAGUUGCCUUUGAGUUCUAUUACCUUGCAUUACUGUGACUUUGAGUUAUGUUUUGUCUAUGUUACUGUAGUUGCUAGUCCACAAACUAGACAGCAUAGGGUAUCGUACCAACUACAUUUAGCAUUCAAUCUGAUACAUAACAAAGUUGUAAAACCAGUAAUUUAUUAUCUUUGUGGAUAGUCACUUUCUUGAAUUUGCCUAUUUGGAUUUUUUUUUUUUCCUUUUACGUUUUCAUUAACUUCUCAAUGGAUUAUCACAAGUUCUUUUGCGAUUUGUCAUUGAAUUUGCGAACACUUAUUUCACUUUGUAUUUUAUGCAGGCUAGUCAUAGUAAGAAUAUGUUUGAAGAUUAUUAGCAAGCCCAGGCAGAUGCUAGUCAUAGUAGGAAUUUUCGUAUAGUUUUCAUUUUAACAUUUUUCCCCUUCAUAUGAUUGCUCAGUAUUUUGCUAGGCAUUAGCAUUAUGACUGCUGCAUUGAGAAUGUUUAUAUCAAUGCUACCUCAUUGAAAAUAUAAUUUGUUACUUUAGGAGUUUAGACGAAUCAAGGGAAACAUAAACUCAAUGAGGGAACAUGCAGAACUUUUGAGUUCAGUCAGAGAUGAUAUUAGCGAGUACAAGGUGAGCAUAGUUCAAUUCUUAGAUAAUGUCAUUUGACUUUAUAUUUUAUUCUUGUUUCUCAAAAGUCGAGGUUAUGCUGUCUACCUAAAUACAGGCAUCUGGUAGUAUGUCUCCAAGAAUGCAGUUACUUCGGGAGAGAGCUGCCAUACAUGGAAGCAUUGCCCAUGUAAGAGUUUGCUGCUUUCUUUUUUUUUUUUCACAUUUCGUGUCUGAUGCUUCAGGGAGGAGUAUUUUCAAAAUUCAUUUGUUGCAAUCAUAUUCUCAAUGGAUAAAGAAAUGAGGAAGGAUGGUUAGGAGGUAUAGAAUAAAGGAAAUUUUUUUGUCAGUGAAGACAUAAAGACGGCAAAAUUUGGAGAGGACAAAUAGAAGUCUUGAUUAAGUUCAAGGUGCUACAAGAAGUAGAAGCACAAAAUGGAUGUCAGUCCAGUAGAAAAUUUUGCAAUGGACUGAGUUCAUUGCUUAUCUGGCCUUGGGUAGUGCUGAGUGCAAAAAAGCAGAAAAUUGUUUUGUGUUUCUUGUUGUAAAUUGAGGUGGUGGUUAAAGGCUUUCUGAAGUUUAUUUUAGUAAAAUGAAAGGCAUCAUGUAUUUAUGUUGCAUAUAUUUCUGAAGUUUGUUUUUGUAAAUGAUGAAUUUUGACCUAACAUUGUUUGGAUGUGAUCCUGAAAUUGAAUUUUGACAUUUUUCACUUCUGGGUGUAAAAUGGGUGCGUGGCAUUAUUCAAGCGCCCUAGAGUUUUAGAUGCUAGUUUACUGUGCUUUGAUUUGUUAUGGUCUAAAUUUCUGUUAAAUAAAACAGUUCAUUUAAGGGCUAACUUAAGGAGAAAGAUUUAUUUUGAACCUUGGUUAGCAACGGUUUCUCUAAUUGCUAGCCAAUUGUCAAUGUUAGAGUUGCCUUUUUGCAGAUAGAUGAUGUCAUCACUCAAGCUCAAACAACAAGAGCUGUCUUAGGUUCUCAAAGGGCUUUGUUUGGAGAUGUUCAAGGAAAAGUGAAGCUUCUAAGUGAAAAGUUUCCUAUUAUCCGUGGCCUGCUUGGUACUUAAUGAAAUGAUUAGUAUUACAGAGUUUACUUCUUGAUGUAGUUCAGAUUCAGUAGUGAUGCAGUACUCUUUUUUCAUUUUAGGUUCUAUCAGGAGACGGAGAUCAAGAGACACCAUUAUUCUGUCCACUGUCAUUGCUGCUUGUACGUUGUUUCUUAUUAUCUAUUGGCUCUCAAAAUGACAGGUGUGAUUUAUCAUACAGAAAUUACAAAAUGAUGAUGGUCUUCAAAGGAAUUUUUCUGUAAUAUGUUAGGAUGAAUAAUGGAUCAAGUUCUCUGUACCAUAGCCUGUGGUGCCUUCAUGCUGCCAUUGUGCAUCAAGAAUAUCUUUUUUUUUUUUUAAUUUUUUUUUAUUUUUUUUUUUUU